GGGUGCCUUGGGAGAGAGGGAGUGCAGAGCAGAGAAAACCUACCUGUGCAACUGAGAAGGCCACUCAGGCCACGGGGACAGAGUAGGAAUGCUCUCAGGAGUGUCCCCUGCACCUGAGCUUGAUUUCUUGCCAUCGCCUUCCACCUCCUACCCAGUGUCUCCUGCACAGUCAGCCAAGUGUUUCCAUGGUACCAGCCAUACCUGAUGCCAGGAGACUCACUACACUUGGAAGCUCUUCAAGGCAUGCUUAUCUUUGUGAACUGAAUCUUGGAGAAGCAGGAUUGAACAUAAGAGUUAUCUUUCAGGCUCCACCACCUACAGGGGACACCCUCCCUCUCCCCCAUGGACCACCUGUCUAACCUGAGUCAGUCUCACACAGAAACCAGUCAUGGCCCUGCCUUCGCCCCACCUUGAGAUCACCCGAGAGGAUGUUUCCAACUCAGGCAAGCAUAAAUGACACUCACUCUGCAUGCGACAGCAGGGGAAUGACCUUACAAGAAACUAAUGGGCCUCGCUUCCGGAGAAUCACUGUCAGAGCCUGUAACAUAAGAUAAAUCACAGCCAAGGAUUUUUGAAAAGUUUCCUGAUGAGAGAACCAUGACCUUUUCAAGGGUAGUGAUGGAUUGAUCAGGGCAAGCAACAUGUAGAUUUUUUCAAACAAGGCUGGCAAAAGAAACAGUGAUAUACAUCUACCAAAGUUAGCUAGAAUACCCGGCUGGUGUCCCAGUCAGGAAACACAGGAAAAGGUUACAUCUGUAGGAAAAAAAAAAAAAAAAAAAAAACUUGUUAAGCAAAACGAUGCAGUUAAAAACCAAGCUCACUGUAAGAAAUGCGGUGUGGGCCAGUGGGGACUGUCAUGUCGAAAGUGCUCAGUGUUCCCGAAGCUGGGCGGCCAGGUGUUUUCACACACAAGGGCCGUCCCUGCUUGGCCAUGGGAUAAGCCUCUGAGUGAAGACCCAGCAAGGAGCUCUGAAGUCUGCCUGGGGGGUGGAGGGUGGGAAUCUUGUUAGAAGCUCUCCCUGGUGUGAAUUUAUGAAGCCCUGUGCAGACUGUGACUUUUAUAAUAAUAACUUAGCUGGUUUUAAGCUCACGUCGCAGAUUUCAUUACAGGCUGCUCCUUAACGAGCAUUGUAAUCUGGAGGAAAGAAUCCAAAUUCUUCAGUCACCACCUAACUCCACAUUCAUUACCGUGUUGUACAGAGUGGAGUCCAAAAGCAGCAACUGUGUUCAUUUCUCCAUAGAAAAUAAACCUCCACCAAGGCA